ACUCCUGGACAUUGCUCUUGUGAUUUAUUGACAUAGAUGUGCAUGUAAUCAAGUUUUUAUGUUCAAUUUAUAAUAUCCUGUUUAUAUACAUGUAGGCAGGGGUCGACGUAAUCGCUGGCCCGCUGGCCCGUGGCUAGUAAAUUUACUGUCGGGCCAGUCAAAUUUAGCAAAGAACGGCCCGACGGGCCAGUCAAUAUUCUCGGGCCACUUGGGCCAGCAACUUUCAUUUUCUACCACGCGGAAGAUUGCACAUACUUCCGUGUUAUUGAAAUCAACUGGUAAUUAUAGCCGGCCAAUCAAAUUACUCGGUAAAAAUCGACGAUUCCGAGGUUCUCCGGAAUCGCGCGAGAUUCGUUUAUUCGGGAUUUGUCGAGUGAAAAAUGGCAGCCCCCAGUUAAAAUUAAAUAAAUUGAUGAUAUGGAACGUUUCCUAACUAACUACCCCCAAAAAAGAAAAGCUGAAACCGAUAGCAACCAAAAAGGAAAAGACUAUGAAAAAUCAAAAAGAAAAAGGGAGUUUAUUCCUUCAUGGACCGCAACAUAUAAAUGGUUGCAGAAUGGCCAAACGGGGAUGACCUGCAACAUUUGUGCACUAUAUGAUAAACACGGUACAUUCGUAACCGGUUGCCAGAAUUACAAAAGAGACUCUAUCAACCAGCAUGAAAAAUCAGAAUCCCAUAAAGUAAAUGUUAUUAAGUUUAAUGGCCAGAAAAACCCAGAAAAUUCUGAAGGAGCCAAAGCCCUGAGAGCCCUUAAUCAAUUAACGGUCAAUAGAUUGAUGUUGAAAUUUAGAAAUGUGUUUGCCUUGUGUAAAAAGGGACGCCCCUAUACUGAUUAUCCAAUGCUAUGUGAUUUGGAUGAAUCUAAAGGUUUAGAUAUAGGGACACAGUAUCGCACUGAUAAAAAAGCUGCAGAGUUUGCCAGUUUUAUUGCUAAAGCGGAAGUAGCCAAGAUUGCCCAAGACAUGAAAGAUGUUCGUUUCAUCUCCGCAAUAUCAGAUGGAUCAACAGAUUCAUCUUAUCAAGAAGCAGAAAUUGUGUUUGUCAGACAUUGUCACAAAGGGGACAUAAAAAUAAAUUUUUCAUUGGUGAAAAACAUCCCAAAAGCUGAUGCUGACAGUAUAUCUAAAGUGAUAAUGUCAGGUAUGAAAAAAUUUGAUGACGACUAUGCCAAAAAAGUUGUUGCAUGUGGGACAGAUGGAGCAAGUGUGAUGCUUGGCUCGAAAACUGGGGCAGUGCAAAGAAUACGUGAAGCAGUUGGGCGACCAUGGUUAAUAGCAGUGCAUUGUUCUGGACACAAACUUGAGUUGGCAUUUAAAGACACAAUCAAGAAGAAAAUCAAUUUAUACGACAAAAUUUCACUCUUCUUGUUAAAUAUUUACUAUUUCUACAGAAACAGCUGUCUGAACAGAGCAGCAUUAAAAGAUUCAUUUAAAAUUCUGAAUCAAACUGUGAUACUCCCUACAAGGACAGGAGGCACAAGAUGGAUGGCACAUCUAAAGAAGGCAAUAGAGUGUUUCCUUAAAGGCUAUGAUGCAAUAACCCAACAUUUGAAUCAGGUAUUUAUAGUAUUUUUUUUUACUUCAAAUUCUUUUGAUAAUUUUUUUUUAUGUACAAGCUUAUUGUCUGAACAUGUAUUUAUUUCAUGCCAUGAUCUGUUACAAUGUAUCUUCCUUUUGCAUAAUUAGAGAAUACACAAUAAGCAGAUUACACUUCUGGCGCACCUGCGAUUUCCCCAUUUUUAUACGACCGCAAAAAAAUUUUUGUGGUCAUAUAUUGGUAUGACGUUGGCGUCGUCGUCGUCGUCCGAAUACACAUUAGUUUUCGCACUCUAACUUUAGUUUAAGUGAAUGGAUCUCAAUGAAAUUUUACCAUAAGGUUCAAUACCACAAAAGGAAGGUGGGGAUUGAUUUUGGGGGUUAUGGUACUAACAGUUAAGGAAUUAGGGGCCAAAAGGGGCCAAAAAUAAGCAUUUUUGUAACUUCCAGACAUAACUUGUGUGUAAGUGUAUGGAUCUCUCUGACAUUGUACCACAAGGUUCCAUAUCACAAAGGGAAUGCUGGGAUUGAUUUUGGGGGUAAUUGCCUCCAAAUUUCAGGAAUUAGGGGCCAAAAAGGGGCAAAAAACAAGCAUUUUUCUAGUUUCAUGACAAUAACUUGUUUGUAAGUGUAUGGAUCUUUAUGAAAUUGUACUACAAGGUUCCAUAUCACAAAGGGAAUACUGGGAUUGAUUUUUGGGGUAAUUUCCUCCAAAUUUUAGGAAUUAGGGGCCAAAAAGGGGCAAAAAACAAGCAUUUUUCUAGUUUCAUGACAAUAACUUGUUUGUAAGUGUAUGGAUCUUUAUGAAAUUGUACUACAAGGUUCUAUAUCACAAAGGGAAAGCUGGAAUUGAGUUUUGGGGUAAUUGCCCAAAACGUUUAGGAAUAAGGGGCCAAAAAUAAGCAUUUUUAGCUCACCUGGCCUGAAGGGCCCAGUGAGCUUUUCUCAUCACUUGGCGUCCGUCGUCCGUCGUCGUUAGCUUUUUACAAAAUCUUCUCCUCUGAAACCACUAGGCCAAAUUUAACCAAACUUGACCACAAUCAUCAUUAGGGUAUCUAGUUUAAAAAAUGUGUCCGAUGACCCCGCCCGCUAACCAAGAUGGCCGACAUGGCUAAAAAAUAGUACAUAGGGUAAAAUGCAGUUUUUGGCUCAUAUCUCUGAAACCAAAGCAUUUAGAGCAAAUCUGAUGAGGAUAAAAUUGUUCAUUAGAUCAAGAUCUAUCUGCCCUGAAAUUUUCAGACCAAUCAGGCAACACGUUGUUGGGUUGCUGCCCCUGAAUUGGUAAUUUUAAGAAAAUUUUGCAGCUUUUGGUUAUUAUCUUGAAUAUUAUUAUAGAUAGAGAUAAACUGUAAACAGCAAUAAUGUACAGCAAAGUUAGAUCUACAAAUAAGUCAACAUGACCAAAAUUGUCAAUUGACCCCUUUAAAAAUAUUUUCCACUGUAACUACCGGGCCAAGUUCAUUAUAGAUAGAGAUAAUAGUAAGGAGCAAGAAUGUUCAGUAAAGUAAGAUCUAGAGCCUGUGUCGCUCACCUUGGUCUAUGUGCAUAUUAAACAAAGGACACAGAUGGAUUCAUGACAAAAUUGUGUUUUGGUGAUGGUGAUGUGUUUGUAGAGAGCCUCUAGUUUUUAUAUAGCUAUUCAAACUACUUAUAUGAAUAAGUCUUUAAUAAAUAUUUGGUACUUAUAAUUUCCCCAUGGAAAGUUGACCCCCCUGUUUAUUCAUUCAAGACACUGAAAUUGGAACAUAACAUAAUGGUAUAAGCAUAUCUAAGAUGUUUUAU